rnacentral:lncRNA from 1 species
AUGCUCUUUUACUUAAUUAUUUGCAGGUUGAUAAUAGAAGAGAAACAACCUGAGAUCUUGGAAUUGCCUGGCGGAGGGAUACAAGUGCAUCAGGAGAUAGACGCUGCGGUUGCAGAGCUGAUAGAACAAGAAGCCCUUGAUGAAUUAGAGCAACUGGUGAAAGCCCAACCAGAAGCCGCUGCAGAUCAGCAAAAUCCAGUUGAGCCACAUCAAGAUGAGGAUGACAAGCUGAGUUUGGAUAAUUUGUUGGAACAACAUCGUUGGGAGGGAGCUCUGCGGCGGCUGACGCGCAUGGUCCGUAAUGGAGAUACCGGAAGUGCCUUUGUCAACGGUGGUGUUUUGAAAGAAAUCCGGGAUUGGGUUAAUGCAAAGAGAGAUACUCCAUUGGGAGAAGAUGAAGCUACGACCCAUAUGGAGAACACCUGCCAUGCGAUCCAUGACUAUUUGAAGCUUUAUUUCCCGGCAUACAGGCCACAAAUUGGGGGAAAGGUUAGAGGUCACCAAGUAAGCAGGGUCUGGGAGCUUGGGGAGAGGCUUGGAAAAGAUGACGGCCGCUGCUUAGCGUGCCACAAGAGAGUUAAGGGGUUCAAUGUGACCAAACUCCAGAAUCACCUGCAAGGAUCGGUUAAAAGGCAAGGAAUACAAUGCCCGGCAAUCAACAACUACAUCCUGAGCAGGCUCGAACGGAUUUUGAAAGAAAUGAACGAAGAUCAAUAAGAACAAAUUA